rnacentral:rRNA from 1 species
UGGGGAAUAUUGCACAAUGGGCGCAAGCCUGAUGCAGCCAUGCCGCGUGUAUGAAGAAGGCCUUCGGGUUGUAAAGUACUUUCAGCGAGGAGGAAGGCGUUGUGGUUAAUAACCGCAGCGAUUGACGUUACUCGCAGAAGAAGCACCGGCUAACUCCGUGCCAGCAGCCGCGGUAAUACGGAGGGUGCAAGCGUUAAUCGGAAUUACUGGGUGUAAAGCGCACGCAGGCGGUGUGUCAAGUCGGAUGUGAAAUCCCCGGGCUCAACCUGGGAACUGCAUCCGAAACUGGCAGGCUAGAGUCUUGUAGAGGGGGGUAGAAUUCCAGGUGUAGCGGUGAAAUGCGUAGAGAUCUGGAGGAAUACCGGUGGCGAAGGCGGCCCCCUGGACAAAGACUGACGCUCAGGUGCGAAAGCGUGGGGAGCAAACA